UCGUAUAUAUGGUUAUAUGAAUAGUUUGGCUAGAUUAAGUUAGGGUUUCGAUUGCGAGUAUAGAUGGUUAUAUCAAACUCUGAUCGGUUACGUAUUGGUUUAGUUAAGAUAAGGUUUUGAUUGCGAGUAUAUGUGGUUAUAUCAAUCUUUGAUCCGGUAUAGUAUGAUUGAAUUAAGUUGGGGAUUCGAUUGAUAGUAUAUAUGGUUAUAUCAAUGUUGGUAAUAUACUAAUUUUGUUAAAGGCUGUUAUUUGUGUAGUUGUUCAAGGGGUGAAGAGUAUUAAGUUACCUGUGAAGUCGACUGUGAAGAAGGCGACGGCGGCGAAGGGAAAUAAGUUACGAGAUCUCCUCUUUUUAUUUUUUUAGAAGUUAGAAAGGACAAAAUCUCAUGUAUAACGUUAUAAGGUUAUAUGUUUAUUUUUUGUCACAUGUA